UGUUUUAGAAUUUUGCUGGUACCGACCUGGUUAUUGCACUAACACACAGUGUCUGGAAAACCCAGAGGCAGAGAAGUUAAAAAGAGAGCAGAAAACAUGAAAAGCAAAUUAAAAAAAACAGAAAACAAAAAAACAAAGAAAACAAAAGAAGCCGGAGACCAAAAGGGUCAUAGGCUCAUAGCUAUUUGGACUGAUUAGCCAGAGAAAACAGGAAUUACACAAUUCUUAAAAUUCCCAAAUUUCCUUUUUCCCCUUUUCCUUAAAAGGGUUCUUCGUUUUAGUACUUUCUUCUCUGUACUUGGCGUCAAACCCUAGUUUCAGGUGUUAAAGGAUUAUUUGCAGGUUGAUCUUAUCAGUCUAAUGCUCUGCAUGUUAUAUCACGGUUGGAGUUUACCAUAACAUGAGUACGAUGGAUCAUCCACGAUCAUCCUCUGCAAAUGCUGAGGAUAAUGUUGGAAUUCCAGAUGAUUUGCGUUGCAAGAGGUCAGAUGGGAAACAAUGGAGAUGCACUGCCAUGUCGAUGCCAGAUAAGACAGUAUGUGAGAAGCACUACAUCCAGGCAAAGAAGAGGGCGGCUAAUUCUGCAAUGAGAGCUAACUUAAAGAAAGCCAAGAGGAAGUCGUUAGGUGAAAGUGAUAUUUACUUGGAGAGUAAGAGUGAUGAAUAUGAUACACCGCCUGUGAACACAAAAGUUGAAGAUUAUCCUGUUCCAGCCUCAGGGAAAAUGUUGUUUGAGAAGGUAUCCAAGAAUCAGUUUCGCUAUUCACCUGAGACAGCAACGAUGAGGAGUUUGGCCGCACGUAAUCCUCAAAAGACAAAUGAAAAUUCACAAAGAGAUGCUGGACAUUUUGAAGAAAACUGGAGGUCUCACAAGACACCACCAACUUCGGGCAUGGACUCAUCUAAGAGUAGAUCACAAAGGAGCUUUGAUGCUAAUGAUGCUAUGACGGAGGACUCUGAUGGAAGUACAGAUUCCUCUGAAGAAGCCGGUGGGCAACCUUGCCACCAAUGCCGGAGGAAUGAUAGAGAUAAAGUUACUUGGUGCCUUAAAUGUGAUAGGAGAGGAUAUUGUGAUAGCUGUAUCUCCACAUGUUACUCAGAUAUUCCAUUGGAAGAAAUUCAGAGAAGUUGCCCUGCAUGCCGGGGUACUUGUAGUUGCAAAGUGUGCUUGCGUUCAGAUAAUUCAAUAAAGGUUAGAAUACGUGAAAUACCUGUUCUAGACAAAUUGAAAUAUCUUCACUGCCUAUUAUCUUCGGUGCUUCCAGUAGUUAAGCAAAUCCAUCAUGAGCAGGCUUCUGAAGUAGAACUACAAAAAAAGUUGAAUGGGAAAGAACUAUUUCUUGCCAGGACAAAAGUGAAUGCAGAUGAGCAGAUGUGCUGCAAUUUCUGUAGGAUACCCAUUACAGAUUAUCAUCGGCGUUGUGCCAGUUGCACGUAUGAUCUGUGCCUUAGUUGCUGUCAAGAUCUUCGGGAAGCAUCUCAAAAUGAUGUUAAAGGAGAAUUGGCAGAUAAUCAGAUCCGUGGCAAAAGUCAAGACAAAGCAACUGCGACAGGGCAAGUGAAAGUAUCCAAACUAAAACUAAUUUUACCGGAAAAGUUUCCUGGUUGGCAAGCCAAUAGUGAUGGGAGUAUUCCAUGCCCCCCACCAGAGUUUGGUGGCUGUGGUCACUCAUCAUUAAAUUUAAGCCGCAUUUUUAAGAUGAACUGGGUUGCAAAACUGGUAAAAAAUGUGGAGGAAAUGGUUAGUGGGUGUAGGAUAUAUGAUGCUGGCAGCCUAGAAAAUACUGGGUUGGAUGAUCCUAGACUCUGCCAAUAUGCUCAUAGAGAAGACAGUGAUGAUAAUUUCUUGUACUGCCCUGCAACUCAAGAUAUUAAAUCUGAUGGGAUUGGAAAUUUUAGAAAGCACUGGGCCAGGGGUGAACCUAUUAUUGUCAAACAGGUGUUUGAUAGCCCAUCAACUUCAAGCUGGGAUCCGAUGGUUAUAUGGAGAGGGAUUCAGGAGACAGCAGACGAGAAAACAAAAGAUGAGAACCGAGUGGUGAAGGCCAUAGAUUGCUUUGACUGUUCUGAGGUUGACAUUGAACUUGGUCAGUUCAUCAAAGGAUAUUCUGAUGGACGAAUUCUUGAAAAUGGUCAGCCAGAAAUGUUGAAGUUGAAGGAUUGGCCUUCCCCCAGUGCAUCUGAAGAGUUCUUAUUGUACCAGAGACCUGAUUUUAUCAGUAAACUGCCCUUACUUGAGUAUAUCCACUCCAAGUGGGGUCUUCUAAAUGUUGCUGCAAAAUUGCCUCAUUAUUCCUUACAGAAUGAUGUAGGACCUAAAAUUUUUAUUUCUUAUGGGACCUAUGAAGAACUUGGUAGAGGCGAUCCAGUGACCAAUCUUCAUUUCAAUAUGCGUGACAUGGUAUACCUAUUGGUGCAUACUUGUAAUGUGAAUCUACAAGGCCAGCAGAGUGUAAAGAUUGAAAAGAUACAAAAAUCCUUUGAGGAUUCUGAGAUGAAAGAAUCACCGGAGGAUCCACAAGCAGAUUUGGAUGAGGAAGGGUCCCCUGAUAUAUUGCUUGGUAGUCAAUUUGUGCAGAAUGAAUGUGGUGCAAAAGUGGAUGAAAAUGAAAAUGAGUCAAUGCUGGAUCAGGGGAUUGAAACUGCUGAUGUUAAAGAGAAUAAUGUCAAUUGUGAAACAUCAAACAGAGAGGGUGAAGAUGUCCCUGAAAGGAGUGAUCCUGGAGUUCUAUGGGAUGUUUUUCGCCGGCAUGAUGUCCCAAAGGUGACUGAUUAUUUAAGAAUUCACUGGAAAGAAUUUGGGAAGCCUGAUGGAGUAUCAAAUGAUUUAGUGAAAAGGCAUCUUUAUGAAGAAACGGUAUUCCUGAAUGGGCAUCAUAAAAGAAAGCUGAAGGAAGAAUUUGGUAAGGAUAAGUAACAAUUGAUGUUCCUAAUUAUUGAUCAAGCUUUGGAGACAGAAUACUUCUUUUGACCUGAGAUGCAUGUUUGAGAUGUGUAGAACUUUUCAACAUGACUAUUUACUGGAUUAUUUGGGGAGUUGAGCCAUGGUCAUUUGAACAGCAUUUGGGGCAAGCUAUAUUUGUCCCUGCAGGAUGCCCUUUCCAAGUGAGAAAUCUCCAGUCCAAUGUUCAGUUGGGGCUUGAUUUCUUAUCUCCUGAAAGUCUGGGGGAGGCUGUAAGGUUGGCUGAAGAAAUCCGCUGUCUCCCUAAUGACCAAGAAGCAAACCUGCAGGUGUUGGAGGUUGGAAAGAUAUCGCUUUACGCAGCAAGUUCAGCUAUUAAAGAAGUCCAGAAAUUGGUUCUUGAUCCAAAACUUGGUGCAGAGCUUGGAUUUGAAGAUCCUAACUUGACUGCAAUGGUUUCUGAGAACAUGGAGAAGAUGAUUAAGAGAAGACAGAUAACUUGUGCUUGAAUGUGUACAGUAAUUGUAAUUUAGGUAUAGGAAGUCUAAUGUUUCAGGAGCAAAUAUCAAUUAUAUAUGUAUUAUAUGUAAUUUUUAACCAUCCCUACAACCUGAGCUGGUCUGAUUUUAGACAUUGGUGCUGCAUUUAAUGAGAACCAUUAUAGUUUAGAAGAAAAUGAAAAGCAAAAUAUGUUGUUGAAUUAGUUUUGUAGUA